ACUCCUACGGGAGGCAGCAGUGGGGAAUAUUGCACAAUGGGCGCAAGCCUGAUGCAGCCAUGCCGCGUGUAUGAAGAAGGCCUUCGGGUUGUAAAGUACUUUCAGCAGUGAGGAAGGUGGGGUAUGUUAAUAGCAUACUCAUUUGUACGUUAGCUGCAGAAGAAGCACCGGCUAACUCCGUGCCAGCAGCCGCGGUAAUACGGAGGGUGCGAGCGUUAAUCGGAAUUACUGGGCGUAAAGCGCAUGCAGGUGGUUUGUUAAGUCAGAUGUGAAAGCCCGGGGCUCAACCUCGGAAUUGCAUUUGAAACUGGCAAACUAGAGUACUGUAGAGGGGGUUAGAAUUUCAGGUGUAGCGGUGAAAUGCGUAGAGAUCUGAAGGAAUACCGGUGGCGAAGCGGCCCCUGGACAGAUACUGACACUCAGAUGCGAAAGCGUGGGAGCAAACGA
rnacentral:rRNA from 1 species